GUACAUACCUGGACGGAGUCGAUCGGUGAUCAGAAAAGCUGAUGGUUUAGAUAAGCAACUUCCAUUGCACUUGGGAAGGGCGCGUGCCUAAGGUCUCCUCGAAGUAGGAGAGUUUACGACAUAAUUUGUGGCAGUUGAGGCCUGCGUUCGAGCGGCCCUCGU
rfam:Gossypium raimondii Chr05_contig_1355, whole genome shotgun sequence.